rnacentral:rRNA from 1 species
AGCGAACGCUGGCGGCAGGCCUAACUCAUGCAAGUCGAACGAAGUCUUCGGACUUAGUGGCGGACGGGUGAGUAACACGUGGGAACGUGCCUUUAGGUUCGGAAUAACUCAGGGAAACUUGUGCUAAUACCGAAUGUGCCCUUCGGGGGAAAGAUUUAUCGCCUUUAGAGCGGCCCGCGUCUGAUUAGCUAGUUGGUGAGGUAAAGGCUCACCAGGGCGACGAUCAGUAGCUGGUCUGAGAGGAUGAUCAGCCACAUUGGGACUGAGACACGGCCCAAACUCCUACGGGAGGCAGCAGUGGGGAAUCUUGCGCAAUGGGCGAAAGCCUGACGCAGCCAUGCCGCGUGAAUGAUGAAGAUCUUAGGAUUGUAAAAUUCUUUCACCGGGGACGAUAAUGACGGUACCCGGAGAAGAAGCCCCGGCUAACUUCGUGCCAGCCGCCGCCGUAACAC